rnacentral:tRNA from 1 species
CGGGACUGGCGGGGCUCGAACCCGCAGCUUCCGCCUUGACRGGCGGUGCUCUGACCAAUGA